UACAGAGGUCCCAAGCGUUGUUCGGAUUCACUGGGCGUAAAGGGUGCGUAGGCGGCCGGGUAAGUCUGAUGUGAAAUCUCACAGCUUAACUGUGAAACUGCAUUGGAUACUAUCCGGCUCGAGGAAUGGAGGGGAGACUGGAAUACUUGGUGUAGCAGUGAAAUGCGUAGAUAUCGGGAGGAACACCAGUGGCGAAGGCGACUACCUGGCCUGUUCUUGACGCUGAGGCGCGAAAGCUAGGGGAGCAAACGGG
rnacentral:rRNA from 1 species